UACGUAGGGUGCAAGCGUUAAUCGGAAUUACUGGGCGUAAAGCGUGCGCAGGCGGUUUUGUAAGUCAGAUGUGAAAUCCCCGGGCUUAACCUGGGAACUGCGUUUGAAACUACAAGGCUAGAGUGUGACAGAGGGGGGUGGAAUUCCACGUGUAGCAGUGAAAUGCGUAGAGAUGUGGAGGAACACCGAUGGCGAAGGCAGCCCCCUGGGUCAAGACUGACGCUCAUGCACGAAAGCGUGGGGAGCAAACAGG
rnacentral:rRNA from 1 species